AACGUAGGACACAAGCGUUAUCCGGAGUUACUGGGCGUAAAGGGCGUGUAGGCGGACCUAUAAGUCUAUUCUGAAAGCUCCUGGCUAAACUGGGAGAGGCGAAUGGAGACUGUAGAUCUAGAGUGAGGAAGAGGAAAGUGGAAUUCCGCGUGUAGUGGUGAAAUGCGUAGAGAUGCGGAGGAACACCAGUGGCGAAAGCGACUUUCUGGUCCUUAACUGACGCUGAGGCGGCGGAAAAGCAUGGGGGAGCCGAACGGGG
rnacentral:rRNA from 1 species